GGAAGAACGUAGCGAAAUGCGAUAAGUAAUGUGAAUUGCAGAAUUCAGUGAAUCAUCGAAUCUUUGAACGCACCUUGCACCCUUUGGCAUUCCGAAGGGUAUGCUCGUUUGAGUGUCAUUGUACUCUCACACUCCCAAUUGCUUUGGAUUGGGAGCGGUGGACUUGGGUGUUGCUGCUUGACUGAGGCUCACCUGAAAUAUGUUAGUGCACCUCUUGAUUGGACAUAGUACGGCGUGAUAAGUGUCUUCGCCGGCUCCUCGCAAAGAGGGUGGCCGAUCGGGAGCUCUGUUGCUUCAAACUGUCUUCGGACAAUCUUCUGGCGACUUGACCUCAAAUCGAGUAGGACUACCCGCUGAACUUAAGCAUAUCAAUAAGCGGAGGA
rnacentral:misc_RNA from 1 species